rnacentral:rRNA from 1 species
UACGUAGGGGGCAAGCGUUGUCCGGAAUCAUUGGGCGUAAAGAGCGUGUAGGCGGCCAGAAAAGUCCGCUGUGAAAACUCGAGGCUCAACUUCGAGCUGUCGGUGGAAACUUUCUGGCUAGAGUCCGGAAGAGGAGAAUGGAAUUCCUGGUGUAGCGGUGAAAUUCGUAGAUAUCGGGAGGAACACCAGUGGCGAAGGCGACUUCCUGGCCUGUUCUUGACGCUGAGGCGCGAAAGCUAGGGGAGCAAACGGGG